UACGGAGGGUGCAAGCAUUAAUCGGAUUUAUUGGGCGUAAAGGGCGCGUAGGCGGAGAUAUAAGUCAGAUGUGAAAUCCUGGGGCUCAACCUCAGAACUGCAUUUGAAACUGUAUCCCUUGAGGGUAGAAGGAGAAAACGGAAUUCCACAAGUAGCGGUGAAAUGCGUAGAUAUGUGGAAGAACACCGGUGGCGAAGGCGGUUUUCUAUUUUAUUCCUGACGCUAAAGCGCGAAAGCAAGGGGAUCAAACAGG
rnacentral:rRNA from 1 species